rnacentral:rRNA from 1 species
UACGGGGGGGGGCAAGCGUUGUUCGGAAUUACUGGGCGUAAAGGGCUCGUAGGCGGCCAACUAAGUCAUAUGUGAAAUCCCUCGGCUUAACCGGGGAACUGCGUCUGAUACUGGAUGGCUUGAGGUUGGGAGAGGGAUGCGGAAUUCCAGGUGUAGCGGUGAAAUGCGUAGAUAUCUGGAGGAAUACCGGUGGCGAAGGCGGCAUCCUGGACCGGCAUUGACGCUGAAGCGCGAAAGCUAGGGGAGCAAACGGGG